UACGGAAGGUGCAAGCGUUGCUCGGAAUCACUGGGCGUAAAGGGUGCGUAGGCGGCCGUGCAAGUCUGGCGUGAAAGCCCCGGGCUCAGCCCGGGAAGUGCGCUCGAAACUGCGCGGCUCGAGUGCCGGAGGGGAGAGUGGAAUUCCUGGUGUAGCGGUGAAAUGCGUAGAUAUCAGGAGGAAUACCGGUGGCGAAAGCGACUCUCUGGACGGCAACUGACGCUGAGGUGCGAAAGCGUGGGGAGCAAACAGG
rnacentral:rRNA from 1 species